rnacentral:rRNA from 1 species
GAUGAACGCUGGCGGCGUGCCUAAUACAUGCCAGUCGAGCGAACAGACGAGGAGCUUGCUCCUCUGACGUUAGCGGCGGACGGGUGAGUAACACGUGGAUAACCUACCUAUAAGACUGGGAUAACUUCGGGAAACCGGAGCUAAUACCGGAUAAUAUAUUGAACCGCAUGGUUCAAUAGUGAAAGACGGUUUUGCUGUCACUUAUAGAUGGAUCCGCGCCGCAUUAGCUAGUUGGUAAGGUAACGGCUUACCAAGGCAACGAUGCGUAGCCGACCUGAGAGGGUGAUCGGACAGACUGGAACUGAGACACGGUCCAGACUCCUACGGGAGGCAGCAGUAGGGAAUCUUCCGCAAUGGGCGAAAGCCUGACGGAGCAACGCCGCGUGAGUGAUGAAGGUCUUCGGAUCGGAAAACUCUGUUAUUAGGGAAGAACAAAUGUGUAAGUAACUAGGCACGUCUUGACGGUACCUAAUCAGAAAGCCACGGCUAACUACGUG